AGGGCACCACCAGGAGUGGAGCCUGCGGCUUAAUUUGACUCAACACGGGAAAACUCACCCGGCCCGGACACCGUAAGGAUUGACAGACUGAGAGCUCUUCCUUAAUUCGGUGGGUGGUGGUGCAUGGCCGUUCUUAGUUGGUGGAGCGAUUUGUCUGGUUAAUUCCGAUAACGAGCGAGACUCUGGCCUAUUAAAUAGUCGGUAUAUCCAGAAAAGUUUACCGUACUUCUUAGAGGGACAACGGCGUCUAGCCGCGUGAAAUAGAGCAAUAACAGGUCUGUGAUGCCCUUAGAUGUCCGGGGCUGCACGCGCGCUACACUGAAAGAAUCAGUAUGCGCUUUAACCUAGUCCGGAAGGAUUGGGUAACCCGAGCAAAUUCUUUCGUGCUUGGGAUAGGGAAUUGCAAUUAUUUCCCUUAAACGAGGAAUUCCCAGUAAAUGCGGGUCAUAAGCUCGCGUUGAUUACGUCCCUGCCCUUUGUACACACCGCCCGUCGCUACUACCGAUUGGAUGACUUAGU
rnacentral:rRNA from 1 species